ACGGACGUGGUGCACGGGACACGAUUGCUCUCAUUAAUUCAGCUGGUGGCAAGCAUUUGAAGCAGUUUGACGGGGUUCGACUCCCCGCGUCCGUA